GCGAUUGUGGCGCGGCGUGGGGACUACACUUCAGCUCCAGUCUCCUGGGAUGUCAAGCUCUGAGAGUCUCCUUCACUGCACUGUGUGCUCCAUAGAAGCCGUGACUUUGUUCACUGAUGUGUCUAAAGUAGUGGCUGGCACCACGUAGAUGCUCAAGAACAUAUUUUUAAAGGAGUGAAUUACUCAAUACGGAGUUGGGGAUUGAAUUCUGCCACAAGAGUGUAUGGCAAGUGUCCGUUUCUUUUGCUAUAAGCAAGAUUCACUGUUUGUAAACUGGACUGAGCAUCUUUAUUAUAUCAAGGGAAAUAACUCUGGUUCGAGACAAGACAAGCCCUACUGCUAGGAAAACUAAGAAUUUGUUGUCAGCACACCUGCCCCAAAAGAACUGACAACGGAAGGACUGACAAAAAGGAAAGAAUGGAAACGUGCAACAUCCGGAAUGAAGAAAAAGGAAUGGAAAGGGUAACUAUAUCAUCAGAUACAAUAGGCUAUUCUCCUUUGGAGUUUGAUAAAAUUAUGUUUGAUGGCCGAAAGCAAAAAUGACAACUUUAACCAAUAGCGUUCUCAAUGUAUGUAGAGAUGUUGAACAUUAUUCGCUGUUAGAGAAAGAGAAGUUAAGGCCACUGUUAUAUACUACCACACACCCGAGGGGACAGCUAGAGUCGAUUAUGACAGUGCCAAGUGCUAGAAAGGUCACGGAACAACUGGACAUUCAUACACUGCUGGUGGGAACGUAAAUGGGUAUAGCCUCUGAAAAAGUUCGUCAGUUUCUUAUACAAUUAAACACUAACUUAGCCUGCGACUCCUGGGUAUGUAUCCCAGAGAGACAAAAUUUAUGUUGACACAAAAUUGGCUACACGUUUGUUUAUACUAUUUUUAUUGAUAACAGUGAAACACCGGAAACAACCCAAAUGUCUAUCAACGGUGAAUGGAUAAGAAUACCAACGAAUACUACUCAAUAACAAAAAGGAAAAGUGUAAACCCAACAAAUUGGAUGGAUCUUAAACAAUUUGCUGAGAGGGGGUUAAAAGCCUAGCUCAAAGGUUACACACUGUAUAACUCCGUUUUAAUAGCAUUCUUGAAAUGAUAAAAUUAGAGUGAUGGAGUACUGUCAGUGGUCACCAUAGGUCAGGGUCUGGGGAACAGUGUGACUAUACUGGGGUAGCAGGAGGACAUCUCUUUGGGUUGGCACAACUCUGCCUUCUGAUUGUGGUGAGAUGUACAGAAAUCUGUAUAUGUGAUAAAAUUUCUUAGAACUCUACACCAAAAAGCAAAGCAAAAACAAACAAACGAAACACACAAAUGAAAGCAUGACUAGUGAAAUCUAAAUAAGGUAUAAGUUUACUUAACAGCAUUGUACCACUGUCAUUUUAUUGGUUUUGAUGAUGUAUGAUGAUUAUGUAAGAUAAUAUCACCGAAGAAGCUGAGUAAACGUACUCAGGAACUUUGCAUAUUUUGUAAAGUCUUGUGAGUAUAAAAUUAUUUCAAACUAAAUUUUAGAAAAAUCACAUUUAAGGUGUUUUUGUAAACUAAUGCUACUUAUAAACUUGGAUAGAUACAUCCAAAUAUGUUGAA